GACGAACGCUGGCGGCGUGCUUAACGCAUGCAAGUCGAACGGAAAGGCCCUGCUUUUGUGGGGUGCUCGAGUGGCGAACGGGUGAGUAACACGUGAGUAACCUGCCCUUGACUUUGGGAUAACUUCAGGAAACUGGGGCUAAUACCGGAUAGGAGCUCCUGCUGCAUGGUGGGGGUUGGAAAGUUUCGGCGGUUGGGGAUGGACUCGCGGCUUAUCAGCUUGUUGGUGGGGUAGUGGCUUACCAAGGCUUUGACGGGUAGCCGGCCUGAGAGGGUGACCGGCCACAUUGGGACUGAGAUCCGGCCCAGACUCCUACGGGAGGCAGCAGUGGGGAAUAUUGCACAAUGGGCGGAAGCCUGAUGCAGCAACGCCGCGUGCGGGAUGACGGCCUUCGGGUUGUAACCCGCUUUCGCCUGUGACGAAGCGUGAGUGACGGUAAUGGGUAAAGAAGCACCGGCUAACUACGUG
rnacentral:rRNA from 1 species